ensembl:lincRNA
GGGUUUUUUGUCAUUGUCAUUGCAGCUUUUUAAGAAGUAAGCAUAUUCGUACAGCUUCUUGUUGGGUAAAUAUAGGAUGGUCAUAGUUCUGGCUGAGGAAAUUCUUACAUUUCACAGUAGAAUAAAAAGCACCCGCAUAAGUAGUCCUUUGUGGUAGCAUGAAUUUCAAGUUCUCUGUCAUGGGACAAGUUUAAAAAUAGGCGACUUGAUAAAUAAUUCUGGAGACCUCACUUGUAAAGAGAGUCCCAUAAAAGAGACAUCCUAGUGGUGUUUCUGAUUAUCUUACUUUGGGGUAUGCAGAAAGAGGAAAUAAACAUUAUCCAUGUUGAGAGAAGAUUUUCCACAGAAUUCUGUUAAAAGAUUUCCCCUUGGAAAAGGAAGAACAGUCAUGGGAAUUACUCUGCUCAGGGCUAAAUACUGAGCGUGGCUUCUAACAGAUGUGCAAAGAGUUCAAGGGACUCGGGCCUGGCCACUGAGGCCCUAGAAGAUGUACUGAUUUGGUGAGUUUGUAUCACAGAUAAGACGAAGCCAUUCGCAUGGUGUUAUUACACCCCACAUAAUCCACCUGCAGAUCUCAGAGGGAAAUUGGCUCCCUGCUCCUCUGACCCUGAUGUCCCAGCUAGAGAGGGGGCCUGGCUCCGGUGUAGCCUGGAGUGGCCUGGCUGCUCCUCUGCAGGGCCUCAGGGUUGCACUACUGCAUGGAGACCUCAUCCAACCCCCUCCUUCAACCUCCUCCUGCAUGAAACAAGGGCCUUUUCAGAGGGCCCAGGCAGCUGCAUCACAGUCCAGCAGGAGCCAUGGACAGAGCAGUGCCCUGGAGCACAGCACCAGCCAGGAGCUAACCGCUUCAUGAGAAUGUCCUACCCAGCAGGAGGGAUGCAAGCAGGAGCAAUGGACUGGAAGGCCACAGUGCUGCCCCGGCUCCUACGUAGGCAGAGAAGCCCAGGCCAAUGGGCAGCAAAACCAGCUGACUUAACCCUUCCAAACCCCAAAGUGGUCCCACUAGAGACCAGCAGAGCCAAACCACCACCCUCCAAUGGGUCCGUCCCCCAGCCAGCUCCACCUGAGACUCCAGACUACACCUGCUCCUUCUCAACCACACAGAUCCCUGUGGAGAACAGCGGCUCCUCCAGGUGAAGGACACUCCGCCCCGCCGGGGGGCCACAGGUAAAGACAGACAGUGCCAGGACACGCAGGGGACAGAGUGGCUGGUGCCAGGCCUCAAGCUGGGAGGAGCUGUGGGAACAGGGCAAGGUGGCAUGUGAUGUGCAGGGAAAAGGGUGGGGCCACUCAUCUGCAGACCUGGGCUGGGGGACACCGGGGAGAGGGGCCAGCAGCAGGUGGCAGCGGGAACUCAGAGAGGGGAUGAAGGCUUGAGUCCGGCGCUUGCUCUGCAGUGAGUGACCUCCAGUAGAUGGUGGGGGGCAGGAAAGCUGCGGUAUGCAUAUGUGGAACCCUAGAGCUAACAACGGGAGACUGCAGCGGACCCCAGACAACUGAGACCUUGGGGUCACAAUAUAAGGAGUCAUUGAACAGGAUCAAGCUCAGGGGCUCUGCUCAAAACCUCAAGGUCCACUGAGAUUCUGAGCGCCCAGGAAAGACCUGGGAGACCGGGACUCAGGGGUGCUGGACGUUCCAAACACACACCUUUGAAACGGAAGGAGGCGCCACAGCACAACGCCCACACAGGGCUAACUGCCAGUUUAUUAAGAGAGCAGCCUUCUCAGGCAUCCAGUGCUUUCACUUGGACAGGGGAGGGGAUCCAGCAGCCUGGCUUCUGAGUCCUGGUGCCCAGACUUCUCUGGCCACAGAAGUCCCCAGAGAAGACAGGGCCCAUGCAGGGUAACCUAGGCUUGGCCCAGGCUGCCGGUGUGACUGAGGCUUUGCUGGAAGUAAAUCAGAGCUCAUUUUCACUCCGUCCCCUGCUUCCAUGCGGACCCUGGCAGGGGUUUUGCAAUCCAAUCUCCAGCGCAGAUCUGGCUUCCUGUGAGCACAGCCUGUGACCUAUAUCCACACAGGCCCACAAUCUGCAACUCUAAAAUUAGUAAAAUUGUGACAAAUAGAAGUAUUCUUUUCCAUGAGUUUAGUGCCAACAUUCAUUUGGGAGAAAACGUGAUUCAAACCUUUAUAAGGCUGUCCACGGCUCUCAAGUCCAGCUCGGCUUCGUGACAGAGCUGCCCCGUGCUUGACGAUGGAAUACCAGUCCAGACCCCACUGGGGACUGUAGUCGGUGUACACUGAGUUCCUCUGGGUCACUUAGGCUGUGAUCAGUCAACUUUCUAAGACCUAAAAUUUAAAUUCCGAAACACCCAGCUGCAAGAAUGUAAGGGAAAACACUGUGGAGCUACAGGCAGCAUAAGUGGAAUUUAAUCAAUUGCUGUUUCAGGACGGCAUCAUUGUGCCUUCAAAUUAAGGUCCUGUCACUGCCCGUGAGGGUUCUUUUUCUCUCCGACAGCGACUACAGGCUGGCCGAGCUCGGCCAAAGGCGCCCAGCACUUCGUGUUCCAGCUCGGCCAACAGGCGAUGCCCACCGUCAGAGGCAGCCUUCAGGGCCGCUGCCCGGUGGUGUCACCAGAGGGGACUGGCAAAUGCCACGUGCCAUCCGCUGACACUGCUGCUUGCUGCCAGUCCCCACCGCUGCUCUUCCUGCUGCUGGUCUCUUGAGUCUCAAGGAAACAGCCCGUUUACAGCUCCUUUUGAAAGCACUGGUUCUGUCCACGUUACUCCAGAUAAGAAUCCCACAUAGAUUUACAGGACCACCAAGGUGAAGCUUUAUUAACAGGGCCUGUUGCCGUGGCUCAGGGAGAACAAACUAGGGAGCCCUCCCGGAGCAACCCUACAAGCGUGAGGGAUGCCCUUGCUUAUAUAACAGCAGCAGGCCUGUGAUUGGUCCAAAUUUGAUACUGCCGGUUGGUCCAAGAUUUCUGAUCAGAGACCACUGAUUGGUCCAAAUUGGCUGAAGUUCAAACCCACGUGGUCAGGGCAGCCACCCCCCACAGAGCAGGCUGGGUGUGAGGUAUCUGGGACAGCCACAGGUGUCGUGGUGGCCAUUCUGAGGAUGGUCGGGAGACCUGGCUCUUCCACUGGCAGUGUCAUUUUCUGAGAAAAAGACAGGAAUAAACCCAGGAGGACAUCGGUGUAAUAGAGCUUAUUGGGGUUUGGGGAUAAUGAGCUGGGGCCUGCCCACAUCUGUGCUACCUGAGGGGCAGUUUUCCUACUGCUUCUUUAGCAAGGUGGCAGCAUUUAGAGUGCAGGAGUGGGGAGCAGGACACUGAAGCUGACAGCUAGCUCACACCUCCUGUCAGGGCACCCAGAGCGCAGCCACCAGAUAGUCCAAGGGGAGCCCUGAGGCAAGCUGUCCCUGUCCACCCUUGGGGACCAGGGGGUAGGCAGGUGUUCUGCAGAGUCUGAACUACAGAAUUAUUUCACCAAAUUGUCC